UGUCAGGUAGCUCAGUGGUCUAGAGCAGUCGCCCGGCAAGCGAAAGGACCCGGGUUCGAUUCCCGGUCUAGUGA
rnacentral:tRNA from 1 species